rfam:Scleropages formosus scaffold17000, whole genome shotgun sequence.
CACUAUGGCCAUACCACCCUGAAUAUGCCCGAUCUCGUCCGAUUUCAGAAGCUAAACAGGGUCGGGUCUGGUUACUACUUGGAUGGGAGACCACCUGGGAAUACCAGGUGCUGUAAAUG